UACGUAGGGGGCUAGCGUUGUCCGGAUUUAUUGGGCGUAAAGAGCGUGUAGGCGGCCAGGUAGGUCUGCUGUGAAAACUCGAGGCUCAACCUCGAGACGUCGGCGGAAACCAUCUGGCUAGAGUCCGGUAGGGGAGCGUGGAAUUCCCGGUGUAGCGGUGAAAUGCGCAGAUAUCGGGAGGAACACCAGUGGCGAAGGCGGCGCUCUGGGCCGGAACUGACGCUGAGGAGCGAAAGCGUGGGUAGCAAACAGG
rnacentral:rRNA from 1 species